CGCGGCCUAUCAGCUUGUUGGUGGGGUAACGGCCUACCAAGGCAUCGACGGGUAGCUGGUCUGAGAGGACGAUCAGCCACACUGGGACUGAGACACGGCCCAGACUCCUACGGGAGGCAGCAGUGGGGAAUAUUGCGCAAUGGGCGAAAGCCUGACGCAGCAACGCCGCGUGGGGGACGAAGGCUUUCGGGUCGUAAACCCCUUUCAGCAGGGACGAAACUGACGGUACCUGCAGAAGAAGCCCCGGCCAACUACGUGCCAGCAGCCGCGGUAACACGUAGGGGGCGAGCGUUGUCCGGAUUUAUUGGGCGUAAAGGGCUCGUAGGCGGUUGCGUAAGUCGGAUGUGAAAACUCAGGGCUCAACCCGGAGAAGCCAUCUGAUACUGCGCUGACUAGAGUCCGGUAGAGGAGCAUGGAAUUCUUGGUGUAGCGGUGAAAUGCGCAGAUAUCAGGAGGAACACCAGUGGCGAAGGCGGUGCUCUGGGCCGGUACUGACGCUGAGGAGCGAAAGCGUGGGUAGCAAACAGGAUUAGAUACCCUGGUAGUCCACGCCGUAAACGUUGGGCACUAGGUGUGGGACCUUACACAACGGGUUCCGUGCCGUAGCUAACGCAUUAAGUGCCCCGCCUGGGGAGUACGG
rnacentral:rRNA from 1 species